GCCUGAGUGGCUCAGUUGGUUGGGCAUCCGACUUCAGCUCAGGUCAUGAUCUCACGGUUUGCGGGUUUGAGCCCCGCAUCAGACU
rnacentral:tRNA from 1 species